rnacentral:rRNA from 1 species
UACGGAGGAUGCGAGCGUUAUCCGGAAUCAUUGGGUUUAAAGGGUCCGUAGGCGGUUUAAUAAGUCAGUGGUGAAAUCUGGUCGCUCAACGAUCAAACUGCCAUUGAUACUGUUAGACUUGAAUAAUUGUGAAGUAACUGGAAUAUGUAGUGUAGCGGUGAGAUGCUUAGAUAUUACAUGGAAUACCAAUUGCGAAGGCAGGUUACUAACAAUUUAUUGACGCUGAUGGACGAAAGCGUGGGGAGCGAACAGG